CAAAGGUUAGUUAAUUUAUAAUAUUAAUUUUGGAUAUUAAAGAUGGGUUUUCUCACUUUUGA
rnacentral:tRNA from 1 species